rnacentral:tRNA from 1 species
GAAUUAUAGCUUAGUUGGUAGAGUGCUUGACUCCUAUGCACAGUGCCCUGAGUUCAAUCCCCAGUAUCA